rnacentral:rRNA from 1 species
UACGAAGGGUGCAAACGUUGCUCGGAAUUAUUGGGCGUAAAGCGCACGUAGGCGGCUUAGCAAGUCGGAAGUGAAAGCCCUCGGCUCAACCAAGGAAGUGCUUUCGAAACUGCUGAGCUUGAGUAGUUAAGAGGAUCGCGGAAUUCCCGGUGUAGAGGUGAAAUUCGUAGAUAUCGGGAGGAACACCAGUGGCGAAGGCGGCGAUCUGGGAACAUACUGACGCUGAGGUGCGAAAGCGUGGGGAGCAAACAGGG